AACGAACGCUGGCGGCAUGCCUAACACAUGCAAGUCGAGCGAGACCUUCGGGUCUAUUGUCGCACGGGUUCGUAACGCGUGGGAAUCUGCCCUUGGGUUCGGAAUAACAGUUGGAAACGACUACUAAUACCGAAUGAGGACGUAAGUCCAAAGAUUUAUCGCCCAAGGAUGUGCCCGCGUAGGAUUAGAUAGUUGGUGAGGUAAAGGCUCACCAAGGCGACGAUCCUUAGCUUGUCUGAGAGGAUGAUCAGCCACACUGGGACUGAGAAACGGCCCAGACUCCUACGGGAGGCAGCAGUGGGGAAUGUUGGAACAUGGGCGAAAGCCUGAUCGAGCAAUGCCGCGUGAGUGAUGAAGGUAUUAGGGUUGUAAAGCGCUUUUAACUGGGAUGAUAAUGACAGUACCGGGAGAAAAAGCCCCGGCUAACUCCGUG
rnacentral:rRNA from 1 species